rnacentral:misc_RNA from 1 species
GAUGAAGAACGCAGCGAAAUGCGAUAAGUAAUGUGAAUUGCAGAAUUCAGUGAAUCAUCGAAUCUUUGAACGCACAUUGCGCCCGUCAGUAUUCUGGCGGGCAUGCCUGUUCGAGCGUCAUUACGCCCCUCAAGUCCCCUGUGGACUUGGUGUUGGGGAUCGGCGAGGCUGGUUUUCCAGCACAGCCGUCCCUUAAAUUAAUUGGCGGUCUCGCCGUGGCCCUCCUCUGCGCAGUAGUAAAACACUCGCAACAGGAGCCCGGCGCGGUCCACUGCCGUAAAACCCCCCAACUUUUUAUAGUUGACCUCGAAUCAGGUAGGACUACCCGCUGAACUUAAGAAUAUCAAUAAGCGGAGGA